GCCGGCGUAGCUCAGUGGUAGAGCAUAGGACUCAUAAGCCUAGGGUCGAAGGUCCGAUUCCUUCCGCCGGCA
rnacentral:tRNA from 1 species